GGCCAUGCUGAGGUUUGAACUCCGGACGUCUGACAUGCGAGGCGAGUGUGUUACCACCAUUACACCAUCGC
rnacentral:tRNA from 11 species